rnacentral:rRNA from 1 species
UACGUAGGUGGCAAGCGUUAUCCGGAAUUAUUGGGCGUAAAGAGCGCGCAGGUGGUUGAUUAAGUCUGAUGCGAAAGCCCACGGCUUAACCGUGGAGGGUCAUUGGAAACUGGUCGACUUGAGUGCAGAAGAGGGAAGUGGAAUUCCAUGUGUAGCGGUGAAAUGCGUAGAGAUAUGGAGGAACACCAGUGGCGAAGGCGGCUUCCUGGUCUGUAACUGACACUGAGGCGCGAAAGCGUGGGGAGCAAACAGGAUUAGAUA